rnacentral:rRNA from 1 species
AUUGAACGCUGGCGGCAUGCCUAACACAUGCAAGUCGAACGAGUGGCGGACGGGUGAGUAAUGUCUGUGAAACUUCCUGAUGGAGGGGUAUAACUACUGGAAACGGUAGCUAAUAACGCAUACCACCCCCUGUGCCCAGAUGGGAUUAGCUUGUGGGGGGGGUACCGGCUCACCAAGGCGCCGAUCCCUAUCUGGUCUGAGAGGAUGACCAGCGACACUGGAACUGAGAGACGGUCCAGACUCCUACGGGAGGCAGCAGGGGGGAAUAUUGGACAAUGGGGGAAAGCCUGAUGCAGCCAUGCCGCGUGUAUGAAGAAGGCCGUCGGGUUGUAAAGUACUUUCAGCGGGGAGGCGUUACCCGCAGAAGAAGCACCGGCUAACUCCGUGCCAGCAGCCGCGGUAAUUC